AUUGAACGCUGGCGGCAUGCCUUACACAUGCAAGUCGAACGGCAGCAUAGGAGCUCGCUCCUGAUGGCGAGUGGCGAACGGGUGAGUAAUAUAUCGGAACGUGCCCUAGAGUGGGGGAUAACUAGUCGAAAGACUAGCUAAUACCGCAUACGAUCUGCGGAUGAAAGUGGGGGAUCGCAAGACCUCAUGCUCCUGGAGCGGCCGAUAUCUGAUUAGCUAGUUGGUGGGGUAAAAGCCUACCAAGGCAACGAUCAGUAGCUGGUCUGAGAGGACGACCAGCCACACUGGGACUGAGACACGGCCCAGACUCCUACGGGAGGCAGCAGUGGGGAAUUUUGGACAAUGGGGGCAACCCUGAUCCAGCAAUGCCGCGUGAGUGAAGAAGGCCUUCGGGUUGUAAAGCUCUUUUGUCAGGGAAGAAACGGUAGUAGCGAAUAACUACUACUAAUGACGGUACCUGAAGAAUAAGCACCGGCUAACUACGUGCCAGCCGCCGCGGUAA
rnacentral:rRNA from 1 species